rnacentral:RNase_P_RNA from 1 species
UGAGUAAACCAGAUGAUCGCGGGCAUAAGCCGCAAGGCUGUGUCUGAGGAAAGUCCGGGCUCCAUAGGGCAGGGUGCUGGCUAACGGCCAGUGAGGGCAACCUCAAGGAAAGUGCCACAGAAAGAAACCGCCUAAAAGAGGUCCGAGGUUAGAGGUCAGAGGUAAGAAUAUGAUAAAGGAAUUUAAGGAUUUUGAAGUCUAUAAAGUUUCAUAUGACUUGGCUGUUAGACUUCAUAAGCUAUCUGCUGAACUGCCACAGAUUGAACAGUUUGAGUUAGGGAGGCAGCUUAGAAGAGCAGCCACUUCGAUUCCUUUGAAUAUUGCCGAGGGCUAUGGAAGAAAAAAGUCUACGGCUGAUUUUAAACAUUUUCUAUCUAAUGCGUUAGGUUCAUGUAAUGAGGUAAGAGUUCUUUUAGACUUAUUAAAAGAUCUUGGAUAUCUAGAAACAACAUUAUACAAUGAAUUUAGUAAUGCAUAUGAAAUAUUAGGUAGAAGACUAUAUACUCUGAUUGUUAAAUGGAAAUGAUCUGACUUCUGAUUUCUAACCUCUGACUUCUUUUAGGUAAGGAUGCAACGGUGCGGUAAGAGCGCACCAGUAGCUAGGCGACUAGCUAGCUAGGUAAACCCCACCUGGAGCAAGACCUAAUAGGGGAACAUAUGGAGUGGCCCGCUCCGUUCCCGGGUAGGUCGCAUGAGGUGCUAGGUAACUAGCAUCCCAGAUAGAUGAUCAUCCUACGACAGAACCCGGCUUACGGUUUAGUCAACUG